GAUGAACGCUAGCUACAGGCUUAACACAUGCAAGUCGAGGGGAAACGACAUUGAAGCUUGCUUCGAUGGUCGUCGACCGGCGCACGGGUGAGUAACGCGUAUCCAACCUGCCUCUGACCAAGGGAUAACCCGUCGAAAGUCGGCCUAAUACCUUAUGCAGUCGUCGGAAGUCAUCUGAUGACGACGAAAGAUUUCAUCGGUGAGAGAUGGGGAUGCGUCUGAUUAGCUUGUUGGCGGGGUAACGGCCGACCAAGGCAACGAUCAGUAGGGGUUCUGAGAGGAAGGUCCCCCACAUUGGAACUGAGACACGGUCCAAACUCCUACGGGAGGCAGCAGUGAGGAAUAUUGGUCAAUGGGCGAGAGCCUGAACCAGCCAAGUAGCGUGCAGGAUGACGGCCCUAUGGGUUGUAAACUGCUUUUAUGCGGGGAUAAAGUGAGGGACGUGUCCUUCAUUGCAGGUACCGCAUGAAUAAGGACCGGCUAAUUCCGUG
rnacentral:rRNA from 1 species